AGAAGCACUCUAGCUACAGAUUAGAAUGAUGACAAGAGUAAUACCUUCCUAGUGAAGAUGACUUUUAUUUCAGGACUAUAUUAAGUUUCCCAACUUCUGUCAUGAUAUAGUCCAAAGAGAACCUGGACCACGCAGACAUCAAACAGAACAUGACACUGACCCAUUCUAUCAGUGACGUUGUGCUGAUUGCACAGGACAGAUGAGAGGCUCGUAUACUAGAAGUCUUGUUUCACAUGUCCACAGAUGAAGAAAAAUUGUGCCCCAGCAAGGAUUAUACCCAGAGCCUCAUCCAUUCAUACCUGAUUUAGAUACUUAGAUGAUGAGUAAUAGAAAAGCAUCAUCUUUAUGUAAAUCACUGUACUUGGCUUCGUGAGAAAUAUAAAAAUGAAUUGCUUCAAUCCCUGGACUCAAGGAUCCUGUGUUACCAAGGUGGUUAUCAAACCUGGGUCAAAGUUGAAUCACCUGAGGAUCUUUUAGAACAUACACAGCCAGCUGGACCUGCCCUCAGCUACCUCAUCUCUCUCUGUGACCUAAUGACAGAAAAGCACAUGAUUCUCUUCACCUGACUUCAUAUAUGGGUCCAUGUCAUAUGAUACUUCAAAAUCUGUGAUUCCAUGAAGCCAAGAGUAGCUCUUCAACAGGAAAUGAAUGAGUGCUUCAGCUUCUGAUCCCAUUAGUAAGAAAAUACAGUCUUAUGAGCAAUGAUGGAGCUGCAUCUCUUAGGGGCAUUUGAUUCCCAAGAGACCAAAGAGCAAAGAGAAUGUCAAUUUAAAAAAAUCAAAUGUUUCCAUGACUUAGCUAUUUAACUGCUUUAAAAUGAAUGAAUGCUGCUUCAAGUUCUUUCAAAUACCCCACAUCUUGGCAACAACGAAAGGAAUUAACAUGAAGAAAAUUUACAAUCUUUCAUCACAUCGAACAAUGUCCCACAUUUGAAAAGUUCACAGCACAGAUUUCUGGUUACUGAAAGAAAGGAAAGACCUUCUUUGGAUUUGAAUAAACAGAUGGACUUUCUUC
rnacentral:lncRNA from 1 species